AUUUUUUUAAAACUUAGUGUAAAAACUAAAAGCAAGUGAAAAGCUUCUGGAAUUGAAAGAUGGUCAGACUGGUCCUCUUUCUUCGGAUCUAGAAAAAUCACCACCACUGUCCUCAUCCAUAUCACUGUAAAAAGGUAACCACGGUCAUUUCGUUUGCAUGGUUUAUGAGCCAGGCGCUUCCUGUACAUUGCUUCAUUGAGCCCUCCCAACAGCUCUAGCAGGCAGGCACACUUCUUACUCUUCCCAUUCUUCAGAUAAAGAAACCAAGGCCCCAGCUGGCGAAGCGACUGUGACCACAGUAACUGGGUCCGCCGGCCUGUCCCCCAGAGCAGGUUACCCAAGCUGCCUGUCUCACCCGCAGGUGGAAAGGAGUACCCGACCCUGCGGGAGGCGAGCAUGAAUGGCCACAGAACACGGAACUGCAUAGGGCCUGGCUUCCCUGCUGGGUUUGUGCAGAUCACAAUGGCAGUAUUGGGUACAUCAUAGGCGGGCCCCUCCCAGCCGCAUCAGGGAGGGCUAUGGGCCAUGGAACAGCUGAACUUGAACUGGGUACUGGGCAGGCCAUUUCCAAGGUAGCUCUGUGGAGUCCCUGUUCUCCUCCCCAGUAAAAUGGCAAAGGUUCACGGUUCAUGGAGGAACACAGGGAUCAGCACAGUGGUGCCGACUUCCCCAAGUGCACGUGCAGUCACGCCCUUCAGCAAGGCCCAGACAGAGCAAGAACCGCCUGCCAGGCUCAGAUUGUCUCCACACUCCCAGAGGGCCCCUUGAUUCCACCUGGCUCACAGCUCAACCUCCCACCUUCGCACCAGUCCCUCCAAAGACAAGGUCCUUGUGGGCUUCUCCCUGCAGUUCUCCUCAAGGACACAUGAUUCUGUCUUUAUCGACUCCGUCCAAACAAUGGAAGUCUCCCACCUCCCAAAGCCUUUAACCCUAGCUGUCUUCUGUCCAUAAAACAUCUCAUUCUUCAGAAAUUAAACUGGGGCUUGCUUAUGUGGCCUUUGAAAUGAAAAGCAGACGCGUCCCUUAGUACAACUUAUCGUUAGUGGAUCAUGCAAGACAACUGGCUGGGAAAAAACCCUCAUGUCGAAAUCAGACCACUCCCACUCAUCGGUGGCCCCUCAGCUUUGCCGUCACACAUACGUCCCUUCUCUCCCCAGUUAGGUGCGAGUUACUUGAUUAUGGGGAAGGUCUAGAAAGGCACAGAGCAAGCGGAACAUGGAUUUCUGCAUGGAUGUGUCCCCAGCUCUUUGAUAAAGUCAAUGUAUUAGCAGUGGCCAUCACGUUUCUUGUUUAUUGAACAUCUACUGUGUCAGGCACUGAAUAUAUAUCAUUGACCUCAAGUCAGCCCCAUUAGGGACACAUUCUUCUUCUUCUUCUUCUUUUUUUUUUGAGACGGAGUCUCGCUGUGUCACCCAGGCUGGAGUGCAAUGGUGUGAUCUCGGCUCACUGCAAGCUCCGCCUCCCGGUCUCAUGCCAUUCUCCUG
rnacentral:lncRNA from 1 species